rnacentral:rRNA from 1 species
UACGUAGGGACCAAGCGUUGUCCGGAAUCAUUGGGCGUAAAGAGCGUGUAGGCGGCUUGUUAAGUCUUGCGUGAAAACCUGGGGCUCAACUCCAGGCUUGCGGUCGAUACGGGCAGGCUAGAGUUCGGUAGGGGAGACUGGAAUUCCUGGCGUAGCGGUGAAAUGCGCAGAUAUCAGGAGGAACACCGGUGGCGAAGGCGGGUCUCUGGGCAACAACUGACGCUGAGGAGCGAAAGCGUGGGGAGCGAACAGG